AAGUCGUACAAGGUUUCCGUAGGUGAACCUGCGGAAGGAUCAUUAACACGUAUCCAACGUUAAACAACCCCGUGAACUUUCAGCCUGCUCUUGCAUGCCAUGAUAAAACAGCAAUCCCGGUAAAUCAUCGCCAAAACAGUUUUGAUUCGGGACCUCUGUCAAAUGGGGUGCAAUUGAUGCGGUAGAAGCAGUGGCAUGGCUUCCCCAAGUGGUCAGUGAAUAACAGUGUCACUGGCUGUGUAAGGAUAACGCCUCACGGUUGCUAGAGGUCGAUCACCGGCCGGCAGACAUGUCACAGGGUCACCACGCCCCUUAUAACCCCACUUUCAAUGCCCCGCCUAGUGGUAACGCGCUAGGUAACAAAAACCGAACAACUGUUAACAAUGGAUAUCUUGGUUCUC
rnacentral:misc_RNA from 1 species